UCUGAUGCUUUUUUUGGUUAUGUUUUCUUUGCUUUGGGUGUUUUACAUGGAAAUUUGAUAACCAAUUUAAAUUCUCCUUAAUCAUAUAAACUAGGAAUUCAUCUGAAAACUAAAGAAGCCUGGAACUUCUUCCUGUGAUAUCUUUGUAGCCUUACUAAUCAGGUGUGAGUUGCAGAAGGAUCUAAAUGUGGUUGUAGAUGACUAUUUUUAUUCUUUUUGUCAUUACUAAUUUGGUGAUCUUUAGUUAUUGUGCAAUGUGCAUGCAUGAUCAUGAAUAUUUUUUUAUUUUUAAACUGACUCAUUUUUCUUUCUGCAGAGGCUCUUUAGGUGUUUGCAGUCACACGAUUUUGAUGUUAUUAGUGUCCUUUCUGCUAACAUGAUGAAUCUCAUAUAGAAUCUUUGCAAAUAGACAUCCUG